GGAAAAGGCUUCGGCGUUCUCUUGAUUUCAGUCCUCUUCUUGCCAUCAACAGCAGCUGAAAGAGCACUGCCUCGCUCAGACAGCUCAAACGGAGGACGAGGGUGGACACCAUGGCAAAAAUGAUGGGAAUAAAAUUGGAAUAAUAGGUAGUCACUCGAACACUGCCCCCUCCAGAACUGGCGUAUCAUAUCCUUCGGAACCCCAUCCCCAUCCGAAAACGUGUAGAUUAUAAUGCCAUGCCAUGCUACAGUUACCAGGAAUGCAAAGCAAACUGAAGAAGUUGAAGCAAAGUGAAGAAUCCAGAAGAGGAACUCUGAGUAUAAACGCUUGUGACUUAUGUUUGUAGGCUGUAAUUUUGUUUACAAAGUGGAAGUAAAUGUUCACAAAUAAGUUUAAAAAAAAAAACUAUAAAAACACCAUGUUUCCUGUUUUGUUGUUGUAACACAUAUUUUCCCCUUUUUUUUAAUAAUAGAAAAAAUGUAUUAAAAAACUUU